GUAAUUGCUGAAGGAUUUUUGCUUCAAACAGGCUCUUGUUUGCAUCAAGUGUGGGGUGCAGCAAAGUGGACUCGGGACUGGCCGAUGUCUGGCCAGAAAUGCCAGGCAAGGGAAACAGUGACUCUAGUGGGGUCAGGAGAGGGGCAUCUGCUGGCCCAGGAGCGCAAGGCAGAGGGGAGAAGUUCUGGUCUCUCCUCGGUGCUGCGGCUGCCCCGGGAAGAGUUUCCAGGAGCUGACAAGCAUUCAGAUGAGUAAAGAUGGGAUCGGAUUGAGAAAAGGAGAAGGGAGAGCAUAUUCGUUCUCUUUCCACCUCCCUCCCACAGCCUUUCAUGCUGAUCUCAUCUGACGAAGCUGCCUCCUCCUCCCUGGACUCUACAAGCCCCUGUCAUGAUCCUGAAUUCCAGCGAAACAGAUGAUACUAACAAGUUUGAAGACCCCCACAGAGGAAUGGAAUCAGUAUGAGAACACAGUUUCUUCAUCUCCCUGUCCCAGAACUUCACCCUGGACUCCUCGACCAAUCAACAAUCUCCACACUUCGGCCCACUCCAAAACUCCUAAAAUCCCAAGCUCCAAACUCCUCUGGGAGAUGGAUUUGAGGCUUCCUCCCGUUUCCUUGUGUGGAAGCCCUGUCAUUAAACCUCUUUCUCUGCUGCAACCUGAUGUACUUGGUGUAUUGACUUGCCAUGCACAUUGGGCAAGGGAUCUAUUACGCUUACAAGAGCACCUAGAAAGGGCUGCUCUGGGCUGGGUGUGGGGCAGAGUGAAUGGGAAUGGGAACACUGUGGACCUUGGAGCAUGC
rnacentral:lncRNA from 1 species